CCACAGUCGAGACUGAGAGGUCGAUCGACCACAUUGGGUAUGAAAAAAGCCCAAGGCGAACAGCACAGCAGUGAGGAAUAUUGGUCAAUGGUCUAACGACUGAACCAGCAAUUUGGAAGAACGUAUAAUAAAUAAAUUAUUUAAAGUUCUAGAUAAAAUAUUUAUAAUGACUAUUUUUUAUCUAUAAGUCUUGGCCAAAUUACGUGCCAGCAGUCCCGGUAAUACGUAAAAGACGAGUGUUAUUCAUCUUUAAUCGGUUUAAAGGGUACCUAGACGGAAAAUCAAGCUUAAUUAAACUAAGGACUAGUUUUCUAGAGUUUGACAUGAGAAGGUACGAACUAUCAGAGGAGAGAUAAAAUUUGUUGAUACUGGUGGGACGGACAACGGCGAAGGCAAUCUUCUACUAAAAACUGACGUUGAGGGACGAAGCCUUGGGGAGCGAGAAGGAUUAGAUACCCUAGUAGUCCUUGGAGAAAAUUAGGAGUGCCAUAGACUAAAGUGAAAAAGAAGUUCUUUUAAAAGAACUUUGUAUCUGAGCCUUAAUUGGAUACAAAGGUCUCGAGUAGCAGUUUAUAAAUGAAAGUGUAAGCAUUCCACCUCAUGACUAAAGCGGCAACGCCCAAAUUGAAAUCAUUAGACCGUUUCUGAAACCAGUAGUGAAGUAUGUUAUUUAAUUCGAUAACCCGCGAAUAACCUUACCACGUUUUGAAUUUAUUAAACAAGUGUU
rnacentral:rRNA from 1 species